CCUACGGGUGGCAGCAGUGAGGAAUAUUGGUCAAUGGGCUUACGCCUGAACCAGCCAAGUCGCGUGAGGGAAGACUGCCCUAUGGGUUGUAAACCUCUUUUGUCAGGGAGCAAUUGGCGCUACGUGUAGCGUUAUCGAUAGUACCUGAAGAAAAAGCAUCGGCUAACUCCGUGCCAGCAGCCGCGGUAAUACGGAGGAUGCGAGCGUUAUCCGGAUUUAUUGGGUUGAAGGGGUUCGUAGGCGGAAUGCCAAGUCAGCGGGAAAAUCGCGGGGCUAAACCUCGCUCCGCCGUUGAUACUGGCGUUCUAGAGUGGGCGAGAAGGAUGCGGAAUGCGUGGUGUAGCGGUGAAAUGCAUAGAUAUCACGCAGAACUCCGAUUGCGAAGGCAGCAUACCGGCGCCCAACUGACGCUGAGGCACGAAAGCGUGGGUAGCGAACAGGAUUAGAUACCCGAGUAGUC
rnacentral:rRNA from 1 species